rnacentral:rRNA from 1 species
UGGGGAAUAUUGGGCAAUGGGCGCAAGCCUGACCCAGCCAUGCCGCGUGAGUGAUGAAGGCCUUCGGGUCGUAAAGCUCUGUGGGGAGGGACGAACGUCCGGGCGAUUAAUACUCGCCCGGGGUGACGGUACUUCCUUAGCAAGCACCGGCUAACUCCGUGCCAGCAGCCGCGGUAAUACGGAGGGUGCAAACGUUGCUCGGAAUUAUUGGGCGUAAAGCGCACGUAGGCGGUUCGUUAAGUCGGGUGUGAAAGCCCUGGGCUCAACCCAGGAAGUGCAUUCGAAACUGGCGAGCUUGAGUACGGAAGAGGGUCUCGGAAUUCCCGGUGUAGAGGUGAAAUUCGUAGAUAUCGGGAGGAACACCAGUGGCGAAGGCGGAGACCUGGGCCGAUACUGACGCUGAUGUGCGAAAGCGUGGGGAGCAAACAGGAUUAGAUACCCCGGUAGUCC